rnacentral:lncRNA from 1 species
UUCACGCCGUGCGCGCGCGUCCAGACGUCCGCGCGUCCACGCGUCGCGCGCGACGUUCGCUCUCGAACCCUCGUCGAUUCGUCGCCGCGCUCGCGCGACGUCCUCGCGCGCGCGUCUGCGGGCGGCGCGUCGUCGCGCGCGCGCGGGGUCGUAUUGGUCCGUGUGGGCUUGACCGAGCCCCCACACACGCGGGUGUUUUCG